UACGAAGGGUGCAAGCGUUAAUCGGAAUUACUGGGCGUAAAGCGUGCGCAGGCGGUUAUGUAAGACAGAUGUGAAAUCCCCGGGCUCAACCUGGGAACUGCAUUUGUGACUGCAUCGCUGGAGUGCGGCAGAGGGGGAUGGAAUUCCGCGUGUAGCAGUGAAAUGCGUAGAUAUGCGGAGGAACACCGAUGGCGAAGGCAAUCCCCUGGGCCUGCACUGACGCUCAUGCACGAAAGCGUGGGGAGCAAACAGG
rnacentral:rRNA from 1 species